rnacentral:rRNA from 1 species
UAACGGAGGCGCUCAAAGGUUCCCUCAGAAUGGUUGGAAAUCAUUCAUAGAGUGUAAAGGCAUAAGGGAGCUUGACUGCGAGACCUACAAGUCGAGCAGGGUCGAAAGACGGACUUAGUGAUCCGGUGGUUCCGCAUGGAAGGGCCAUCGCUCAACGGAUAAAAGCUACCCCGGGGAUAACAGGCUUAUCUCCCCCAAGAGUUCACAUCGACGGGGAGGUUUGGCACCUCGAUGUCGGCUCAUCGCAUCCUGGGGCUGUAGUCGGUCCCAAGGGUUGGGCUGUUCGCCCAUUAAAGCGGUACGCGAGCUGGGUUCAGAACGUCGUGAGACAGUUCGGUCCCUAUCCGUCGUGGGCGUAGGAAAUUUGAGAGGAGCUGUCCUUAGUACGAGAGGACCGGGAUGGACAUACCUCUGGUGUACCAGUUGUCGUGCCAACGGCAUAGCUGGGUAGCUAUGUAUGGACGGGAUAAGUGCUGAAAGCAUCUAAGCAUGAAGCCCCCCUCAAGAUGAGAUUUCCCAACUUCGGUUAUAA